AAUAUUUGACGCCAUUAACUUUUUAGCACAUGUUUGACCGUUUGUCUUAUUCAAAAAAUUUAAGUAAUUAUUAAUCCUUUUCCUAUCAUUUGAUUCAUUGUUAAAUAUAUUUUUAUGUAGGCAUAUAAUUUUACAUAUUUUACAAAAGUUUUUGAAUAAGACGAACGAUUAAACAUGUGCUAAAAAGUCAACGGUGUCAAACAUU
rnacentral:pre_miRNA from 1 species